rnacentral:lncRNA from 1 species
AUGCUAAGUUUUCCUGAUUUAACAGCUUAUUUAAAACUGAAAUUAGAUUUCCUUCCAUUUCCAGCUAUUAUCCAUGAUGUAACUAAGCAACACCACCUUCAUGUUAUUGAUGGGUCUGAGUGCACACAGAUCUUGCUGACUGGGACGAGCAUUGGUACACUCCCCUGUAACUGCAAAUUCCAUAGGAACCUUUCAAAAGUUGAUCUGAGAGUACUUGGAAAGGCUAGUCCGUCACCUUUUCCUGUGCAUGGGACACAGCUGGGAUCACCACAGAUCCAGCUGAGCACCCAGCACUCCCACACAGCCUGUGAUGCCAGGCUCUGACCUUUGCACAG